CUGAACUCGUUUAUGAUGCUUCCAACCUGAAUUCUAGAACAGCUUCCUGAUUCUUGGACACUGCUGUCAAAAUGACCGUCAGUCUGCAACAGCCCCAGGAGGCGGAGGCAAGGCCAGGCGCUGGGGGACCUGGGUCCUCCCCGAGACCUGAAGGCUAUUUUUGCCUUCUGUAAAAGGCACCCUCAUCCUGGUAUCAAGAUCCUGGAGAGGCCAGAUGUGAAAUAGAGUUUGUUUGAGACGUGGAUGACAAUGGGGAGGAUGUCCAUCCUGUGCAGGGCGCAGACACUGUCCAGCCGCACGUCCAGGAGGGCAUGAGUGUUCUUUGUGGGAGGGAGACGAGAAGUGAGUCAAGAUCACCAGCCUCUGAGGAAGCAAAGGGAGCCCACACCCAGCUGAGAAAACAGAGACUCAAGGAGCUGGGAGAGCUCACCCAUGGUCCCGUGGAUCCUAACUGGCUGAGACGAGGUUUGGGCUCCUGCUGGGGUGUUGGGGCCCAGAGGUCAGCGACAAGGUCACCCAGGUCCAGGUUGGUCCCUACACCUUUAUCUCAUCCCACUCCUCUGCAUUCCCGAAACCCUUCCCAGGACAGCUCCCCUGCCCACCCCGCCCUUGCCCUCACCUUUUCCAUGAGGGACUCCACAGCAUGGCGAGUCACCCAGCAGCGGCCCCCAGACACUUCUCCCUCCUGGACGAUGUCCCCUCUCUGGCUCCAGGCCUCAUACUCCUCCUGGCUCAAGUACUCUACAGGUGACAUUGGGCAGGGCUGUCAUACACCAGCUGCGUGGGGGUCCGAGGGAGCCCCAUGGUAAACGUCCCUGUCCCCGUGGACCCCGCCAGCCCUGGGAGAAGCUCUUCUUAGGGCAUCCACUCAACAAACCUGACCCUGCACGCCCCCCUUGUGCCCUGCACCUCCAUCCUGAACUAUCUGGACACAGCAGGUGAG